rnacentral:rRNA from 1 species
CCUACGGGGGGCUGCAGUCGAGGAUCUUCGUCAAUGGGCGCAAGCCUGAACGAGCGACGCCGCGUGAGCGAUGAAGGCCUUCGGGUUGUAAAGCUCAAAAGAGGUGAGAAAGGGAAACUUGAUCGAACCUCAGUAAGCUCGGGCUAAGUUCGUGCCAGCAGCCGCGGUAAGACGAACCGAGCGAACGUUGUUCGGAAUCACUGGGCUUAAAGGGCGCGUAGGCGGGUGCUCAAGUCCGGGGUGAAAUCCCACAGCUCAACUGUGGAACUGCCUCGGAUACUGGGUGCCUCGAGGGUGGUAGGGGUCCGCGGAACUAUCGGUGGAGCGGUGAAAUGCGUUGAUAUCGAUAGGAACUCCGGUGGCGAAGGCGGCGGGCUGGACCACAUCUGACGCUGAGGCGCGAAAGCCAGGGGAGCAAACGGGAUUAGAUACCCCAGUAG